GGGCCCGUAGCAUAGCCUGGUUGGUGCGCCCGACUGAUAAUCGGGUGGUCCUGUGUUCAAAUCACAGCGGGCCCA
rnacentral:tRNA from 1 species